GUCAAAUCGAGAUAUUUGGAUUAGUAUCUUUGAGGGAAUGGGAUAUGUGAAAAGGUACUCUGGGAAUAGUUGCUAAAUGAAAAGUCAGAGAAAUAAGGAAGUAAGUGGUCAGUGUGGACUAGAAGAGGUCAGGGAGGUUUCUUGGAGGAUCUGGGACUUAGGUCAGGCUUGGACCCUGGAUAGGAAGACUUCUAGAGAAUUCAGGUCUCCAGAUUUCAACAAAGGAGUAGAAAGAAAUAUUAACCCAAGGAUCAGUUAAAUUUGAGAAAUGUUCAUAUGUUCCUAAUAUACACAGUGUUCUCUGCAGGGUUAAAUGUAUUAGAAAGUAUAAGUGGAGGCCCCUGGGCUUGGUGGCCAAAUAAGUUUAGAGAGUGCUGGAAUAAGCAGCUAAGAGUGUUUGUAUUACCAGACUCCGUGGGCCUUUCAUAUGGUGAUGUUCACAUUGAUUUUUCCCCACAGGCUUUUACAACAAGAGGGUUCCUGCUUAUUCCAUUAUAGCGCCAUGUUGAUUUCCAGAAGGAUUCUGCAGAAAUAAGAGUUCCAAAUAACUGGGAAAAUUCUAGCCUAAAGGAUCUCAUUUUAGAGUGUCAUUUAGUGUAAGACACUAGCAGUAGUCAUGUUUUCAGUGGUCUGAAUGCCCAGGGGAAUUGAUUGGAAGGAAGUUAGAGGGACUUCAUUUAAAGAAACCAGUGAAAGAAUGGUCCUCUGAGGGAUCCCAAUCUGGAAUAAAAUACCCUAGGGCUGUUUUCAGUUCAGAAAUUAUUCCUCAACAUAUUAAUAGGCACAUAAGCCAGACAUUUUAAAAAACUACUUUUGUUAAUGUCAUUCUUUUUCUUCUCUUGAGAUAUGGGGGAGGAUUUUGUGUCAACAGUAUGGCCUCACUAUGCCAUCCCAUUGGGAGGGAGCUCUGGGUUAGAGCAGCUGAGGCUGUGAGGGGGAGGCAAAACUCAAAAAUCUGGCAGGACUGGGACUGCCAGAUAAAGCCCAGGACAUCCAGUUAAAUUGGAAUCUCAGCUUAACCCACAAUUUUUCAUAUAACAAUGUUCCAAAUAUUAGGUGGGACAUACUUGAACAAGAAAUAUUACUUAUUGUUUUCCUGGAACUGAAAUUUAACCUGGGCAUUCUGGAUUUUUAUUUUCUAAAUCUGGCAACCCCAUACAAGAUGUCAGGUGAUCUAGGCACACAGAUUUGAAAAUGACAUUAAAUGUGUAAGGAAAAAUAGCACAGAUUGGUUCAAAGUGCUGGAGAACCCAGACCCUCCCUCUAGUGA
rnacentral:lncRNA from 1 species